rnacentral:rRNA from 1 species
UACAGAGGGGUGCGAGCGUUAAUCGGAAUUACUGGGCGUAAAGCACACGUAGGCGGCUUGGUAUGUCGGGUGUGAAAUCCCCGGGCUCAACCUGGGAACUGCAUCCGAAAACUGCCUUGCUCGAGUAUGGGAGAGGGAAGUGGAAUUUCCGGUGUAGCGGUGAAAUGCGUAGAUAUCGGAAGGAACAUCAGUGGCGAAGGCGACUUCCUGGACCAAUACUGACGCUCAGGUGCGAAAGCGUGGGGAGCAAACAGG